rnacentral:tRNA from 1 species
GGGUUAUGGCGCAGUUGGUAGCGCGAUACGUUCGCAACGUAUAGGUCAGGGGUUCGAAUCCCCUUAGCUCC